GUAUAAGUUUUAAAGGCAAUUAAGCCAAUUAAAAUGACAUUCUGUAACAUACUAUAGGGGGUAUAUUAAAAACAUAGACUGGAAAAUUGCAAGGAAAGCCGGCUUUGCGCACGGCAGUCCUCAAACCGAGUUUUCCUCGAGAGGGUAAAAUUCCCAAAGUCUACAAAAAGUGCACAGGUGGUAAGAAAAGUUGGUGUCGGGCGUGCACAUGCCCCGAAGGGCCAGCAACAACCCAACCAAGCUUAUUCAAUAAUGAUCCUUCCGCAGGUUCACCUACGGAAA
rnacentral:misc_RNA from 1 species